rnacentral:lncRNA from 1 species
UCAGGCUUCAGGUGGUCUUAGAGCACAUGCCCGUGGGUCCCGACGCCAUCCUCAGAUAUGUGCGCAGGAUUGGUGAUCCUCCUCAGGCACUUCCUGAAGAGCCAAUGGAAGUUCAGGGAGCAGAAAGAACUUCCCCUGAGCCUCAGAGAGAGGAUGCUUCCCCAGCCCCCGGAACAACAGCAGAAGAAGCCAUGUCCCGAGGUCCACCCCCUGCUCCUGAAGGAGGUUCCCGAGACGAACAGGAUGGAGCUUCAGCCGAUGCAGAGCCCUGGGCAGCUGCAGUCCCCCCUGUAAGUGGCAGGAUGGUAUCCAGUGGGUUCAAGAGCUGUAAGUUGUGGGAAUUAUGUCAAAUCCUCUCCUCCCCAGGAAUGGGUACCUAUUAUCCAGCAGGACAUUCAGAGCCAGCGGAAGGUGAAACCUCAGCCGCCCCUGAGUGAUGCCUACCUCAGUGGCAUGCCUGCCAAGAGACGAAAGGUUGGUCUCUGCUGAGGAUGUGUCUCUGUCAAGCACCCUUGUUGAGCUAGAAGCUUUUGCUUGUAGUUCAGUCUCUUCAUCUAGUUAGAAAGCCUGUUUGUGAGUCAGGCUUGUUCAGGAUUGGUACAUUGGUACAUGGUACAUACUGUUUUCUGGCAGUUCUGGUUCCUCAGCUGUGUCAUCUCCCAGGUGAUUAGGUGUGUAAGGUGGACUUUGUCUUGGAGAGUAGCUAGCUCUGAAUCCCAGGUGCUUUGACCUGCUGGUGCCUUCUUUGCUGUCAGAACCAUGUGCAGGCUGU